rfam:Picea glauca, whole genome shotgun sequence.
ACAUGCUUACAACAUAGCAUUAAUGCACUAGAUCCCAUUAGAAUUCUGCAAUUAUGCGCGCUCAGGAUAGAGUAGUACUUGGAUGGGUGACCUCUUGGGAAGCCCUAGUAUUUUACAUGCC